UAUACGGAGAGUUUGAUUCUGGCUCAGAACGAACGCUGGCGGCGUGGAUAAGACAUGCAAGUCGAACGGGGAAUCUUUGGAGCUUGCUUUGAAGAUUCCUAGUGGCGAACGGGUGAGUAACACGUGAGCAACCUGCCCCUGACUCUGGGAUAAGCGCUGGAAACGGUGUCUAAUACUGGAUAUGUGACGUGGCCGCAUGGUCUGCGUCUGGAAAGAUUUUUUGGUUGGGGAUGGGCUCGCGGCCUAUCAG
rnacentral:rRNA from 1 species